GAGGACGAGGACACGCUCGC
rnacentral:misc_RNA from 1 species